rnacentral:rRNA from 1 species
AUGUCUAUGUGGCUGAUGAACAAAACCUUCAUGGAGAAGCUGGAUAAACAUAGAAGGAGAUUCUUCUGGCAAGGGUGCAAUAAGAAACAGAGAUACCACUUGAUCAGAUGGAGAAGAAUUUGUAGAUCAAAAGAUAAGGGUGGGCUCGGAGUUAAAGACUUAUGCAAACAAAAUAUUAGUCUGAUGCUAAAGUGGUGGCGGAAACUAGACACCCAGAAAGGGAUCUAG